rnacentral:tRNA from 1 species
CCUCUGCUAGCUUAGCGGUUAGAGUGCCCUUCUGAGUAAAGGAAAGCCUGGUUCGAGUCCAGGGCAGAGGA